AACGAACGCUGGCGGCAGGCCUAACACAUGCAAGUCGAGCGGACCUUUCGGGGUCAGCGGCGGACGGGUGAGUAACGCGUGGGAAUAUGCCCUUCUCUACGGAAUAGUCCUGGGAAACUGGGGGUAAUACCGUAUACGCCCUUUGGGGGAAAGAUUUAUCGGGGAAGGAUUAGCCCGCGUUGGAUUAGGUAGUUGGUGGGGUAAUGGCCUACCAAGCCGACGAUCCAUAGCUGGUUUGAGAGGAUGAUCAGCCACACUGGGACUGAGACACGGCCCAGACUCCUACGGGAGGCAGCAGUGGGGAAUCUUAGACAAUGGGGGCAACCCUGAUCUAGCCAUGCCGCGUGAGUGAUGAAGGCCUUAGGGUUGUAAAGCUCUUUCAGCUGGGAAGAUAAUGACGGUACCAGCAGAAGAAGCCCCGGCCAACUCCGUG
rnacentral:rRNA from 1 species